rnacentral:RNase_P_RNA from 1 species
UCAGCCGGCCGGGCGGCCGCUCCCGUCACAUGCCGAAAGGCGGCGGGGGAGGAAAGUCCGGGCUCCACGGAGAGACGGUGCCGGAUAACGUCCGGCGGGGGCGACCCCAGGGAAAGUGCCACAGAAACCAGACCGCCCCGCCUACAGUACGGCUCGGCCUCCAUCGAGGCUUGGCGUCGAAGCUCGCGAUCGAGCCGCACUGUUGGCGGGGUAAGGGUGAAAAGGUGGGGUAAGAGCCCACCGCGGCGCUGGCAACAGCGGCGGCAUGGUAAACCCCACCGGGAGCAAGACCGAAUAGGGACGACGUGGCGUGGGAUUUCGUCCCACCGCCGGCCUCUCUCCGGGUCAGUCGUCCGGGUGGGUUGCUAGAGGCGGUCCGCAAGGGCCGUCCCAGAGGAAUGGUCGCCGGGCGGCUUUGCCGCUCACAGAACCCGGCUUACAGGCCGGCUGACACC